GACGAACGCUGGCGGCGUGCCUAAUACAUGCAAGUUGAGCGAUGAAGCUUGGUGCUUGCACCAAUUUGAAGAGCAGCGAACGGGUGAGUAACGCGUGGGGAAUCUGCCUUUGAGCGGGGGACAACAUCUGGAAACGAAUGCUAAUACCGCAUAACAACUUUAAACAUAAGUUUUAAGUUUGAAAGAUGCAAUUGCAUCACUCAAAGAUGAUCCCGCGUUGUAUUAGCUAGUUGGUGAGGUAAAGGCUCACCAAGGCGAUGAUACAUAGCCGACCUGAGAGGGGGGUCGGCCACAUUGGGACUGAGACACGGCCCAAACUCCUACGGGAGGCAGCAGUAGGGAAUCUUCGGCAAUGGACGAAAGGCUGACCGAGGAACGCCGCGGGAGUGAAGAAGGGUUUCGGAUCGUAAAACUCUGUUGGUAGAGAAGAACGUUGGUGAGAGUGGAAAGCUCAUCAAGUGACGGUAACUACCCAGAAAGGGACGGCUAACUACGUG
rnacentral:rRNA from 1 species